CAUCAUCCUACUACUACAUGAUUUGGGCUCGACUGAAACAGGUUUCAUGCCUCUACAUGUAUCCAGUAAAAUCCUACCACAUGUGAAGAAGUACAAAACACAGAGAGGGAGAGAGACGCUGAGGCGCCCACCACCGAAGCUGUAAGCCAGCAAUGGAUGGGUACGCGGUACUGGUAGAUCUAUACGAUUGUCAGUGAGUCUCUGCUGAUCAAAGUCAAUGAUGUUGUUAACUUUGUUGAUAUUAUUAAUUAAUGCUAUAUGUUUCUGUGUUGGUCAAUAUACUUGCCAGUUCAGUAGAUGCUUUACAAGAAUAAUGUCUCUCAUCAAACAGAACAAACGAACAAACCCACCGCUGCUUUAAUUCCAAAUCCAUUUAAUACCACCGCUGAAGUUACCUGCCUUCUCUCUCAUCAUGUAUAUCUGCCACCACCGCUUCUUCAACAUGCUUCUCUGUUCUCUCCCUUUGGCCUGUCAGACUUCCAUCCAUACACCUAUACUCUAUCUGUACAUCCACAUGUGGGACCAUUUACAUAUGAACACUCUCUCACACACACACAUAUAUUAUCGUUCUCCCGUACAGGUGCUUUUUUAUUUUUUUUCAUAUGAAUAUGUCGUAUCAUUUUUUUUUUUUUGUUUUAUAUGUCGUAUCAUUUAAUAGAGUCUUUAUAGAUACAUUACUGAUACGUGACACGUGAUAAAAUAUCGAGACUUCUUAUCAAUAGUAGUAAAAUUACAAAUUAAUCAGAUACUGUCACAUGCCAUUAUUGUUUGAUGUAAGAUGAACAUUGUUGCCCAUUAGAUUUUUACUCAUAUACAUACAUAUAUAAGUAAAAUCUUGGGUCGCGUUUAUAGUAUAUACUCUUUCAUCUGUUUACAUCAAAUUUUUAUCACGAGUAUAUUUACUUUUGUCUCAUUAGUUGGUACAUACACAUGAUCAUAAGUAUCUAAUGAUAGAAUGUAUGUGUCAG
rnacentral:lncRNA from 1 species